CCAGGGCUACACACGUACUACAAUGGCCGGUACAAAGGGCAGCGACACAGCGAUGUGAAGCCAAUCCCAUAAAGCCGGUCUCAGUCCGGAUUGGAGUCUGCAACUCGACUCCAUGAAGUUGGAAUCGCUAGUAAUCGCGGAUCAGCACGCCGCGGUCGAAUACGUUCCCGGGCCUU
rnacentral:rRNA from 1 species